UACAUCACAGUUCUGUUUUACCUUAAUAAUGUAGACGAAGGGGGGGAGACUACCUUUCCAGUGGCAGAUAAUAGGACUUAUGAAGAAGCGUCACUGAUACAGAACGAUGUGGAUCUGUUGGACACCAGGAAACAUUGUGAUAAAGGCAACCUGAGAGUGAAGCCCAUUAAGGGGACGGCAGUUUUCUGGUACAACUAUCUCUCUGAUGGUAGAGGUUGGGUUGGUGAACAGGAUGAGUAUUCUCUUCAUGGUGGCUGUGUGGUGACACAAGGGACUAAGUGGGUUGCCAAUAAUUGGAUCAAUGUCGAUCCAGAUUACCAGCGGCAGGCACACUACCAACAGUUUGUUUCU